rnacentral:misc_RNA from 1 species
GGAAAUAUACAUUGUACAAUUUUGAUACGCAUUACAUUAUUAUCUCGAAGACGCUUUUGAUAAGAGAAAAGAAGGAAGGGAAAGAAGUGGAAGAGUGAGUCGAUAGAAACUACUGGGAUAUCACGUUAUCAACGUUCGUCAACGAUUUUAUCAAAAAAUGUUUCAAGUGGAAUAUGUCUCAUCUGAUGGCUAGAUGAGUACAUUUUGAUUUCUUAAUAUCUUACAUCUUCUAAGAUACUAAGAUAACUUUGA